UACGUAGGGGGCGAGCGUUGUCCGGAGGUACUGGGCGUAAAGGGCAUGCAGGCGGUCGGACGCGUUUCGGGUGACAGCGGGUGGCUUAACUACCCGAGUGGUCGAAAGACGGUUUGACUUGAGGACGCGAGAGGGACACGGAAUUCCGGGUGGAGUGGUGAAAUGCGUAGAGAUCCGGAGGAACACCGAAGGCGAAGGCAGUGUCCUGGCGCGUAACUGACGCUGAGGUGCGAAAGCGUGGGGAGCAAACAGG
rnacentral:rRNA from 1 species